rnacentral:rRNA from 1 species
CCUACGGGAGGCAGCAGUCGAGGAUCUUCGGCAAUGGACGCAAGUCUGACCGAGCAACGCCGCGUGUGCGAUGAAGGCCUUCGGGUUGUAAAGCACUGUCGAGGGGAAACAAGCCGUAAGGUUGAGUGACCCCUGGAGGAAGCACGGGCUAAGUUCGUGCCAGCAGCCGCGGUAAGACGAACCGUGCAAACGUUAUUCGGAAUCACUGGGCUUAAAGGGCGCGUAGGCGGGUAAUCAAGUCAAUGGUGAAAUCCUCCAGCUUAACUGGAGAAGUGCCUUUGAUACUGGUUGUCUAGAGGGAGGUAGGGGCAUGUGGAACUUCAGGUGGAGCGGUGAAAUGCGUAGAUAUCUGAAGGAACGCCAGUGGCGAAAGCGAUGUGCUGGACCUCUUCUGACGCUGAGGCGCGAAAGCUAGGGGAUCAAACGGGGAUUAGAUACCCCCGGUAGUCCCUAGCCCUAAACUAUGGGUACUAGAUUGUGGACUUUCAUGGGUUCACAGUCGAAGCAAAAGUGUUAAGUACCCCGCCUGGGGAGUAUGGUCGCAAGGCUGAAACUCAAAGGAUUGACGGCUGAGAGNGCGAGNGACACGAGGAGAG